AAAGUUCAAACAAUUUCUUAACCGCGCGGAAACAAGUGGUAGACUGGAACCAAAUUCACUAACGACAGCCGUAAGACAAUGAUGUAUAUGAUGAACUAAACUCUAAGAAAAAGCUGGAAUUUCUUGUGUUUACCACUUGAAUUUUACUACAUUCGGCUUCUUUAUGCUGGGUAUGAAGACAUUCCUGGAUAAAUAGUUGAACUUAUUCUCUAUUGUACUAGAAUAUUCAUGUUGGAGAACUGUAUCUACAUUUAAUGAUUGAAAAAUUAGAAAAUUUGCUGCUGUGAAACAUUGUUAUUGAGAAAUCAUGGAUGAAAACAAUUUAACUCAAGCUCAAUAUAAUCUACUUAAGGAAAGAGAAAACCUUUUAAAAACUAAACAUAAACUUUCUACUCUUGGUGAACAAAGAAAGUCAAAAUCCACGAUGUUGAAAUUGUGGACAGUGAAAUACUUGCAUUGGUUGCAGAUGAAGAACCUAUAUCUUUAUCAUGGGACUUUGAAACUCUUGGGAUAAAAGAGGAUAGUAAAAAAGUAACUCGUGAAGCUUUUUUGGAUAAUCAUCUCACAAAAAUUGACAAAAAACUUCGUGCAGUUGAAGAAGAAAUGGCAAAAACUAAAAUUUUCGAAAAACUAACUCUUUUGACCCAUCUUUACAUGAAGUAGUGGGUUGAAAAAAAGUAAGAAGAAGAUUAUGAUGAUGUUAAUGAUGUUAUGUUAAAUCCAACUGCAAAAGUUGAUCUUCAGCAGAAACAAAUUACAUCGUUGAUGAAACAGUUAAACGAAUAUGAGGUAAAGUUACAACAUUUGGUAAAUGAAAAUAAUUUGCUUAAUAAAGACAAACAAGAGUUGUUAAAAGUCAACAAAGAAUGGGACAAACAACACAGACUUUUAAACCACGAAAAAAAACGUAUUGAAGCUGAGUUUCGUAUGAGAUAUGGAGGAGUGGAGGAGGCUAUGCCUUUGCAGCGGAAAUCUCCGAAUUUUACUGUUGACGAAGACCUGAAGAAAACGAUAGUAGACUUGAGUACAAAUAAUGAAUCCUUAAUGAUUGAGAUUUCUCAACUCAAGGAGGAAUGUAAAAAACGGGAUAGUGUUUGUUUUUCUGCAAAAAAACUUCUGCAGGAAGAACGAAGUGCAAAAGAAGCGUUGAUGCAGACAAAAUUGGUUGGCGAUGAAAAAGUGAAUGAACUACAGACUCAGUUGGAAAGAGAAAAACAAAGAAAUGCGAUUUUGAAACAAGAAGUUGAACGAUUGGUGAACGUCUAUCCUACAGAAAAUAAUUCCAGUCUCCCUUCGCUCAAUGUGACUGAACAGAUUGAAAUGUUAAAGCAACAGAUCUCUGUCUAUGCUGACGACUUUGCGUCAGAACGUGCCGAUCGUGAGCGCAUUCAAGCAGACAGAGAAAACCAGAGAAAUCAAAUUAUCGACUUGACGAGGGAGAAUAAUUUACUCCAAGAUCAGCUCCAUCUUUAUCACAAUGAUUUUGAAAAGGAGCGAAGAGAAAAAGAAAGAUUGCAAAAAUUACUUAAAGAGCAUGGACGAGCAUCGCAGCAACCUGAAGAACCUUGGUAUAUGGUUCCUCCUACAGAAUACAUCCCUAUGCAUAAUCCAAAUAGACACCAAGCUUGGUUACAUCAAGGUAACAUACCACAUCGUUAUUCACCACAAGAAGUUCAAGAACUUGCAUUUCAACAACAACAGAUAUUUCAUUAGAAGAUGUCAUAGUCCCUCCCCCCCGGGAUGAAUGCUAAAGAUUCAACACCUCAAUUCUAAAAUGGCAGACGAGGGAACUGAAAGUAUUCAAAAUGAAAAUGCUUUUCAUGACCAAAUGCCGCUCUAUUCCGAAAACUACGAUGCAAAAAGGACGAAAAUGAAAAAAGCAAUAUUUUUUGGACUUGUUGGUUUACUUGUUUUAAUCACAGUAAUCCUGUCAUUCUCUAGAGGAAUUUCAAAACAUGUUUCUUAUGUUUUGUUAGGAUUUAGCAUCAUUUGUAUAAUGCUUGUUGAAUGUGCUUUGUGUUGGCUUCAUAAAAUUGGACAACUUGACAAUGAGAAAGAAUGGUUUAUAUAUUUUGUUGGAGUUUGUAUAAUUAUUGAAUCUGUUUUUACUGAUGUUUUGUUAUUUGACUAAAUAGACUUUAUGGAAACCUGAGAAAUUUUUGCAUUUGUUGUAUUAAUGUCUCAGUUGGAAUAAGAGAGAUAUAAAAAUUAUUAGACUAGAUAUUUUAUAGAAAAAUAACAAUGUGUGAUUGCUUAUCUUAAGGUUUUGUAUUUAAAAUUUGGUGUGUACGUAUAGCUCAAUGAUGCCUAAAUAGAUGACUAAUUUGCAUUAUGUACAAUACAUGUUGUUUCUCUCUGUA